ACUGCUAUGAUUAUUUGCACUAAUCAACCAAUUGUUCCAACUGAAUGACUGUAUGUCGACAAUUGCAUUAUAUCGUUAAGUUUCAGCCUUGUAUGAGCAUA
rfam:Cyberlindnera jadinii NRRL Y-1542 unplaced genomic scaffold CYBJAscaffold_4, whole genome shotgun sequence.